GGGGCCCGCGGGGAGCGCUGGCUGCGGGCGGUGAGCUGAGCUCGCCCCCGGGGAGCUGUGGCCGGCGCCCCUGCCGGUUCCCUGAGCAGCGGACGUUCAUGCUGGGAGGGCGGCGGGUUGGAAGCAGGUGCCACCAUGGCUAGUGGCAGCUGUCAGGGGUGCGAAGAGGACGAGGAAACUCUGAAGAAGUUGAUAGUCAGGCUGAACAAUGUCCAGGAAGGAAAACAGAUAGAAACGCUGGUCCAAAUCCUGGAGGAUCUGCUGGUGUUCACGUACUCCGAGCGCGCCUCCAAGUUAUUUCAAGGCAAAAAUAUCCAUGUGCCUCUGUUGAUCGUCUUGGACUCCUAUAUGAGAGUCGCGAGUGUGCAGCAGGUGGGUUGGUCACUUCUGUGCAAAUUAAUAGAAGUCUGUCCAGGUACAAUGCAAAGCUUAAUGGGACCCCAGGAUGUUGGAAAUGAUUGGGAAGUCCUUGGUGUUCACCAAUUGAUUCUUAAAAUGCUAACAGUUCAUAAUGCCAGUGUAAACUUGUCAGUGAUUGGACUGAAGACCUUAGAUCUCCUCCUAACUUCAGGUAAAAUCACCUUGCUGAUAUUGGAUGAAGAAAGUGAUAUUUUCAUGUUAAUUUUUGAUGCCAUGCACUCAUUUCCAGCCAAUGAUGAAGUCCAGAAACUUGGAUGCAAAGCUUUACAUGUGCUGUUUGAGAGAGUCUCAGAGGAGCAACUGACUGAAUUUGUUGAGAACAAAGAUUAUAUGAUAUUGUUAAGUGCGUUAACAAAUUUUAAAGAUGAAGAGGAAAUUGUGCUUCAUGUGCUGCAUUGUUUACAUUCCCUAGCGAUUCCUUGCAAUAAUGUGGAAGUCCUCAUGAGUGGCAAUGUCAGGUGUUAUAAUAUUGUGGUGGAAGCUAUGAAAGCAUUCCCUAUGAGUGAAAGAAUUCAAGAAGUGAGUUGCUGUUUGCUCCAUAGGCUUACAUUAGGUAAUUUUUUCAAUAUCCUGGUAUUAAACGAAGUCCAUGAGUUUGUGGUGAAAGCUGUGCAGCAGUACCCAGAGAAUGCAGCAUUGCAGAUCUCAGCGCUCAGCUGUUUGGCCCUCCUCACUGAGACUAUUUUCUUAAAUCAAGAUUUAGAGGAAAAGAAUGAGAAUCAAGAGAAUGAUGAUGAGGGGGAAGAAGAUAAAUUGUUUUGGCUGGAAGCCUGUUACAAAGCAUUAACGUGGCAUAGAAAGAACAAGCACGUGCAGGAGGCCGCAUGCUGGGCACUAAAUAAUCUCCUUAUGUACCAAAACAGUUUACAUGAGAAGAUUGGAGAUGAAGAUGGCCAUUUCCCAGCUCAUAGGGAAGUGAUGCUCUCCAUGCUGAUGCAUUCUUCAUCAAAGGAAGUUUUCCAGGCAUCUGCGAAUGCAUUGUCAACUCUCUUAGAACAAAAUGUUAAUUUCAGAAAAAUACUGUUAUCAAAAGGAAUACACCUGAAUGUUUUGGAGUUAAUGCAGAAGCAUAUACAUUCUCCUGAAGUGGCUGAAAGUGGCUGUAAAAUGCUAAAUCAUCUUUUUGAAGGAAGCAACACUUCCCUGGAUAUAAUGGCAGCAGUGGUCCCCAAAAUACUAACAGUUAUGAAACGUCAUGAGACAUCAUUACCAGUGCAGCUGGAGGCGCUUCGAGCUAUUUUACAUUUUAUAGUGCCUGGCAUGCCAGAAGAAUCCAGGGAGGAUACAGAAUUUCAUCAUAAGCUAAAUAUGGUUAAAAAACAGUGUUUCAAGAAUGAUAUUCACAAACUGGUCCUAGCAGCUUUGAACAGGUUCAUUGGAAAUCCUGGGAUUCAGAAAUGUGGAUUAAAAGUAAUUUCUUCUAUUGUACAUUUUCCUGAUGCAUUAGAGAUGUUAUCCCUGGAAGGUGCUAUGGAUUCAGUGCUUCACACACUGCAGAUGUAUCCAGAUGACCAAGAAAUUCAGUGUCUGGGUUUAAGUCUUAUAGGAUACUUGAUUACAAAGAAGAAUGUGUUCAUAGGAACUGGACAUCUGCUGGCAAAAAUUCUGGUUUCCAGCUUAUACCGAUUUAAGGAUGUUGCUGAAAUACAGACUAAAGGAUUUCAGACAAUCUUAGCAAUCCUCAAAUUGUCAGCAUCUUUUUCUAAGCUGCUGGUGCAUCAUUCAUUUGACUUAGUAAUAUUCCAUCAAAUGUCUUCCAAUAUCAUGGAACAAAAGGAUCAACAGUUUCUAAACCUCUGUUGCAAGUGUUUUGCAAAAGUAGCUAUGGAUGAUUACUUAAAAAAUGUGAUGCUAGAGAGAGCGUGUGAUCAGAAUAACAGCAUCAUGGUUGAAUGCUUGCUUCUAUUGGGAGCAGAUGCCAAUCAAGCAAAGGAGGGAUCUUCUUUAAUUUGUCAGGUAUGUGAGAAAGAGAGCAGUCCCAAAUUGGUGGAACUCUUACUGAAUAGUGGAUCUCGUGAACAAGAUGUACGAAAAGCGUUGACGAUAAGCAUUGGGAAAGGUGACAGCCAGAUCAUCAGCUUGCUCUUAAGGAGGCUGGCCCUGGAUGUGGCCAACAAUAGCAUUUGCCUUGGAGGAUUUUGUAUAGGAAAAGUUGAACCUUCUUGGCUUGGUCCUUUAUUUCCAGAUAAGACUUCUAAUUUAAGGAAACAAACAAAUAUAGCAUCUACACUAGCAAGAAUGGUGAUCAGAUAUCAGAUGAAAAGUGCUGUGGAAGAAGGAACAGCCUCAGGCAGCGAUGGAAAUUUUUCUGAAGAUGUGCUGUCUAAAUUUGAUGAAUGGACCUUUAUUCCUGACUCUUCUAUGGACAGUGUGUUUGCUCAAAGUGAUGACCUGGAUAGUGAAGGAAGUGAAGGCUCAUUUCUUGUGAAAAAGAAAUCUAAUUCAAUUAGUGUAGGAGAAUUUUACCGAGAUGCCGUAUUACAGCGUUGCUCACCAAAUUUGCAAAGACAUUCCAAUUCCUUGGGGCCCAUUUUUGAUCAUGAAGAUUUACUGAAGCGAAAAAGAAAAAUAUUAUCUUCAGAUGAUUCACUCAGGUCAUCAAAACUUCAAUCCCAUAUGAGGCAUUCAGACAGCAUUUCUUCUCUGGCUUCUGAGAGAGAAUAUAUUACAUCACUAGACCUUUCAGCAAAUGAACUAAGAGAUAUUGAUGCCCUAAGCCAGAAAUGCUGUAUAAGUGUUCAUUUGGAGCAUCUUGAAAAGCUGGAGCUUCACCAGAAUGCACUCACGAGCUUUCCACAACAGCUAUGUGAAACUCUGAAGAGUUUGACACAUUUGGACUUGCACAGUAAUAAAUUUACAUCAUUUCCUUCUUAUUUGUUGAAAAUGAGUUGUAUUGCUAAUCUUGAUGUCUCUCGAAAUGACAUUGGACCCUCAGUGGUUUUAGAUCCUACAGUGAAAUGUCCAACUCUGAAACAGUUUAACCUGUCAUAUAACCAGCUGUCUUUUGUACCUGAGAACCUCACUGAUGUGGUAGAGAAACUGGAGCAGCUCAUUUUAGAAGGAAAUAAAAUAUCAGGGAUAUGCUCCCCCUUGAGACUGAAGGAACUGAAGAUUUUAAACCUUAGUAAGAACCACAUUUCAUCCCUAUCAGAGAACUUUCUUGAGGCUUGUCCUAAAGUGGAGAGUUUCAGUGCCAGAAUGAAUUUUCUUGCUGCUAUGCCUUUCUUGCCUCCUUCUAUGACAAUCCUAAAAUUAUCUCAGAACAAAUUUUCCUGUAUUCCAGAAGCAAUUUUAAAUCUUCCACACUUGCGGUCUUUAGAUAUGAGCAGCAAUGAUAUUCAGUACCUACCAGGUCCCGCACACUGGAAAUCUUUGAACUUAAGGGAACUCUUAUUUAGCCAUAAUCAGAUCAGCAUCUUGGACUUGAGUGAAAAAGCAUAUUUAUGGUCUAGAGUAGAGAAACUGCAUCUUUCUCACAAUAAACUGAAAGAGAUUCCUCCUGAGAUUGGCUGUCUUGAAAAUCUGACAUCUCUGGAUGUCAGUUACAACUUGGAACUAAGAUCCUUUCCCAAUGAAAUGGGGAAAUUAAGCAAAAUAUGGGAUCUUCCUUUGGAUGAACUGCAUCUUAACUUUGAUUUUAAACAUAUAGGAUGUAAAGCCAAAGACAUCAUAAGGUUUCUUCAACAGCGAUUAAAAAAGGCUGUGCCUUAUAACCGAAUGAAACUUAUGAUUGUGGGAAAUACUGGGAGUGGUAAAACCACCUUAUUGCAGCAAUUAAUGAAAACCAAGAAAUCAGAUCUUGGAAUGCAAAGUGCCACAGUUGGCAUAGAUGUGAAAGACUGGCCUAUCCAAAUAAGAGACAAAAGAAAGAGAGAUCUCGUCCUAAAUGUGUGGGAUUUUGCAGGUCGUGAGGAAUUCUAUAGUACUCAUCCCCAUUUUAUGACGCAGCGAGCAUUGUACCUUGCUGUCUAUGACCUCAGCAAGGGACAGGCUGAAGUUGAUGCCAUGAAGCCUUGGCUCUUCAAUAUAAAGGCUCGCGCUUCUUCUUCCCCUGUGAUUCUCGUUGGCACACAUUUGGAUGUUUCUGAUGAGAAGCAACGCAAAGCCUGCAUGAGUAAAAUCACCAAGGAACUCCUGAAUAAGCGAGGGUUCCCUGCCAUACGAGAUUACCACUUUGUGAAUGCCACCGAGGAAUCUGAUGCUUUGGCAAAACUUCGGAAAACCAUCAUAAACGAGAGCCUUAAUUUCAAGAUCCGAGAUCAGCUUGUUGUUGGACAGCUGAUUCCAGACUGCUAUGUAGAACUUGAAAAAAUCAUUUUAUCGGAGCGUAAAAAUGUGCCAAUUGAAUUUCCCGUAAUUGACCGGAAACGAUUAUUACAACUAGUGAGAGAAAAUCAGCUGCAGUUAGAUGAAAAUGAGCUUCCUCACGCAGUUCACUUUCUAAAUGAAUCAGGAGUCCUUCUUCAUUUUCAAGACCCAGCACUGCAGUUAAGUGACUUGUACUUUGUGGAACCCAAGUGGCUUUGUAAAAUCAUGGCACAGAUUUUGACAGUGAAAGUGGAAGGUUGUCCAAAACACCCUAAGGGCAUUAUUUCGCGUAGAGAUGUGGAAAAAUUUCUUUCAAAAAAAAGGAAAUUUCCAAAGAACUACAUGUCACAGUAUUUUAAGCUCCUAGAAAAAUUCCAGAUUGCUUUGCCAAUAGGAGAAGAAUAUUUGCUGGUUCCAAGCAGUUUGUCUGACCACAGGCCUGUGAUAGAGCUUCCCCAUUGUGAGAACUCUGAAAUUAUCAUCCGACUAUAUGAAAUGCCUUAUUUUCCAAUGGGAUUUUGGUCAAGAUUAAUCAAUCGAUUACUUGAGAUUUCACCUUACAUGCUUUCAGGGAGAGAACGAGCACUUCGCCCAAACAGAAUGUAUUGGCGACAAGGCAUUUACUUAAAUUGGUCUCCUGAAGCUUAUUGUCUGGUAGGAUCUGAAGUCUUAGACAAUCAUCCAGAGAGUUUCUUAAAAAUUACAGUUCCUUCUUGUAGAAAAGGCUGUAUUCUUUUGGGCCAAGUUGUGGACCACAUUGAUUCUCUCAUGGAAGAAUGGUUUCCUGGGUUGCUGGAGAUUGAUAUUUGUGGUGAAGGAGAAACUCUGUUGAAGAAAUGGGCAUUAUAUAGUUUUAAUGAUGGUGAAGAACAUCAAAAAAUCUUACUUGAUGACUUGAUGAAGAAAGCAGAGGAAGGAGAUCUCUUAGUAAAUCCAGAUCAACCAAGGCUCACCAUUCCAAUAUCUCAGAUUGCCCCUGACUUGAUUUUGGCUGACCUGCCUAGAAAUAUUAUGUUGAAUAAUGAUGAGUUGGAAUUUGAACAAGCUCCAGAGUUUCUCCUAGGUGAUGGCAGUUUUGGAUCAGUUUACCGAGCAGCCUAUGAAGGAGAAGAAGUGGCUGUGAAGAUUUUUAAUAAACAUACAUCACUCAGGCUGUUAAGACAAGAGCUUGUGGUGCUUUGCCACCUCCACCACCCCAGUUUGAUAUCUUUGCUGGCAGCUGGGAUUCGUCCCCGGAUGUUGGUGAUGGAGUUAGCCUCCAAGGGUUCCUUGGAUCGCCUGCUUCAGCAGGACAAAGCCAGCCUCACUAGAACCCUACAGCACAGGAUUGCACUCCACGUAGCUGAUGGUUUGAGAUACCUCCACUCAGCCAUGAUUAUAUACCGAGACCUGAAACCCCACAAUGUGCUGCUUUUCACACUGUAUCCCAAUGCUGCCAUCAUUGCAAAGAUUGCUGACUACGGCAUUGCUCAGUACUGCUGUAGAAUGGGGAUAAAAACAUCAGAGGGCACACCAGGGUUUCGUGCACCUGAAGUUGCCAGAGGAAAUGUCAUUUAUAACCAACAGGCUGAUGUUUAUUCAUUUGGUUUACUACUCUAUGACAUUUUGACAACUGGAGGUAGAAUAGUAGAGGGUUUGAAGUUUCCAAAUGAGUUUGAUGAAUUAGAAAUACAAGGAAAAUUACCUGAUCCAGUUAAAGAAUAUGGUUGUGCCCCAUGGCCUAUGGUUGAGAAAUUAAUUAAACAGUGUUUGAAAGAAAAUCCUCAAGAAAGGCCUACUUCUGCCCAGGUCUUUGACAUUUUGAAUUCAGCUGAAUUAGUCUGUCUGACGAGACGCAUUUUAUUACCUAAAAACGUAAUUGUUGAAUGCAUGGUUGCUACACAUCACAACAGCAGGAAUGCAAGCAUUUGGCUGGGCUGUGGGCACACCGACAGAGGACAGCUCUCAUUUCUUGACUUAAAUACUGAAGGAUACACUUCUGAGGAAGUUGCUGAUAGUAGAAUAUUGUGCUUAGCCUUGGUGCAUCUUCCUGUUGAAAAGGAAAGCUGGAUUGUGUCUGGGACACAGUCUGGUACUCUCCUGGUCAUCAAUACCGAAGAUGGGAAAAAGAGACAUACCCUAGAAAAGAUGACUGAUUCUGUCACUUGUUUGUAUUGCAAUUCCUUUUCCAAGCAAAGCAAACAAAAAAAUUUUCUUUUGGUUGGAACCGCUGAUGGCAAGUUAGCAAUUUUUGAAGAUAAGACUGUUAAGCUUAAAGGAGCUGCUCCUUUGAAGAUACUAAAUAUAGGAAAUGUCAGUACUCCAUUGAUGUGUUUGAGUGAAUCCACAAAUUCAACGGAAAGAAAUGUAAUGUGGGGAGGAUGUGGCACAAAGAUUUUCUCCUUUUCUAAUGAUUUCACCAUUCAGAAACUCAUUGAGACAAGAACAAGCCAACUGUUUUCUUAUGCAGCUUUCAGUGAUUCCAACAUCAUAACAGUGGUGGUAGACACUGCUCUCUAUAUUGCUAAGCAAAAUAGCCCUGUUGUGGAAGUGUGGGAUAAGAAAACUGAAAAACUCUGUGGACUAAUAGACUGCGUGCACUUUUUAAGGGAGGUAAUGGUAAAAGAAAACAAGGAAUCAAAACACAAAAUGUCUUAUUCUGGGAGAGUGAAAACCCUCUGCCUUCAGAAGAACACUGCUCUUUGGAUAGGAACUGGAGGAGGCCAUAUUUUACUCCUGGAUCUUUCAACUCGUCGACUUAUACGUGUAAUUUACAACUUUUGUAAUUCGGUCAGAGUCAUGAUGACAGCACAGCUAGGCAAGUUUCUUUCCUUUAGAUAUUUUUCAUAUUCUCUAAGUCUUAUAAAAUAUGCCUUUAUUUUACGUUUACAUUUUCUCUGAACUUUCCAGUGUCAUAUGGAUGGUCUUGGAGGGUCACACAGUGAAACAUAAGACUGGUAUAAAUUGUGAAUAGGGUCAUUACAGAAGUGGAGGGAGUAAAUGCUCUCAGUCCCACAAGAGAAGCAGAUUACUGCAGCUGAACACUCAGUUUGGGUCUUACUUGCUUUUUUCCUUUUUACCUAAGGCAAAAAUGGGAAAUACAUGGUAUUGAAUAUAUUUUACUUUUUGAGCAAAGAAAAUAAAGAAAAUGUUUGUUUUAAUCAUAGUCUAGCCUCCCAGCUUGUUAAAGAAUCUCAUUUGGUUUUUCAUUCUAUAACAAAUCUUUUUUCUUGCAGCAAUACAUGCUGAACUGCACAACCUACAAAUAUUGACAAAUCAUAUUUUACUCAAACUUUGUCUUUUUUUGCUUCUAUUUUUAUAUUUAAAUAUGAUAAAAUUGUGAUAGCACAUAAAAUAUAUUUUCUGCAUAAAUAUAUUUGCGUCUUCCUUUGAUAAUAAUUUGUUUUAGAAAAUAACAAUAAUAGCAUAUAUACAAAAGUUUACAAAAACGACACUAUGGGGUUUAAUUCUGAAAAAAACUAGAAUUUAUGUAACUUUAGCAAAUAAUGAAUGUUUUGAACAUGGUGAAGAAAAUAUAUUCAUUGCAAGUAUAUGUGAAAGAGGAACAUGUGUUUUUCUAGCACCUUCACCUAUUUUUCAUUUAUAGACUUUAGAGUUGCACAGGAGUUACAAUUAGAUGCUCUUAAUGACUGUAAACUAUUAAGAUACAUGUCCACACAAGCAGAGCAGUAGGUCUCUCAAUAGGUUGUCUCAGUAGUCUUAUUCUACCAAAGUUGUUGCAUUCUCUAGUUGAAUUGUAUGUACUUUGGGACCCAAAUAGCUUGCUUAUAACUGAAGUUAUAGUGGAAUGUCUAUGGGUUAUAGUUUGAUUUUAAAAUAAAGAUCAAUUGGAGGAUAGCCUACAAGGUGCUGCAUGAGCUGGCUUCACUGUACCUCUCCUGCCUCCAUCAUCUACCACAUUCCUACCAGAUCUUGCUUGUCUAGAUGAACAUCCAGUUCUUCUCAAUUACUAUGCUAUAUUUUGCCUCAGGGAUUUGCACAUGCUGUUUAUUUCUUUGCUUAGUUAACAUAGCUUUUUUUCAUGCUUAUUUAACUCAUAUGCUUUGAAAUGUUAGCUCCUGUGUCAAAACCUCUGAGAAGCCAACACUGAUUAGGUCAAAGUUCCCGCUUUGGGUUCCCAUAACAGCUUUCUUGCAUAGUUUUGAUCAUGGUCAUAUUUUUUUUUCAUUAAUGCUAGUCUCUUCACUAGAAUAUAAACUCCAAGACGGUUGGGUUAGUGUGUUUUUGUUUACCCCUUUUUUCCCAGGAUCUAGCCUAGGGCCUACAUAGAAGACUUUUGAUGCAAAUUUGUUGAAUAAAUUAGUGAAUGAUUUGAAAAGAAAAUAUGAUAUUUUGACAUAGUAUCAGUAUAUCCAUCCAUCUAAGUGUCCAUCUAAAUACUCAUAUUUGUACUAAAUACUCAUAUUUGUACCUUACCAUAUCCAAAGAACUUUUCACACACAUUACCUCGUUUAACAUUGUAACUUUGGGAAGGGUAAUGUAUAAAUACUGAGCCUAUUUUAUAGAAAGGUUAAGCUGUUUUCUCAGACUCACAUAAUUAAGAAUUGCAGCAAGGAGUGGAUCACAGAUUUUGUUAUUUUUUAAAAAAAUGCUGGUCUUUAUUCAAUAUAAUUGAAGGGUCACCUAGAAAAUAGAAUUGUGAAUUCAGUUCCAAGGUAUUUGUGUCUUAAACUAUGAACAACUUUACUUUUUUUUCAGGCCAGUUUAAUAUAUAGUUUUAACAGAAAACUUACAUAUUUUGUUUUUGUAAAGGAAGCCUUAAAAAUGUCAUGCUGGUAUUGGGCUACAACCGGAAAAAUACUGAAGAGAUACAAUCUUGCUUGACCGUUUGGGACAUCAAUCUUCCACAUGAAGUGCAAAAUUUAGAAAAACACAUUGAAGUGAGAAAAGAAUUAGCUGAAAAAAUGAGACGAACAUCUGUUGAGUAAGAGAGAAAUAGGAAUUGUCUUUGGAUAGGAAAAUUAUUCUCUCCUCUUGUAAAUAUUUAUUUUAAAAAUGUUCACAUGGAAAGGGUACUCACAUUUUUUGAAAUAGCUCGUGUGUAUGAAGGAAUGUUAUUAUUUUUAAUUUAAAUAUAUGUAAAAAUACUUACCAGUAAAUGUGUAUUUUAAAGAACUAUUUAAAACACAAUGUUAUAUUUCUUAUAAAUACCAGUUACUUUCGUUCAUUAAUUAAUGAAAAUAAAUCUGUGAAGUACCUAAUUUAAGUACUCAUACUAAAAUUUAUAAGGCCGAUAAUUUUUUGUUUUCUUGUCUGUAAUGGAGGUAAACUUUAUUUUAAAUUCUGUGCUUAAGACAGGACUAUUGCUUGUCGAUUUUUCUAGAAAUCUGCACGGUAUAAUGAAAAUAUUAAGACAGUUUCCCAUGUAAUGUAUUCCUUCUUAGAUUGCAUCGAAAUGCACUAUCAUAUAUGCUUGUAAAUAUUCAAAUGAAUUUGCACUAAUAAAGUCCUUUGUUGGUAUGUGAAUUCUCUUUGUUGCUGUUGCAAACAGUGCAUCUUACACAACUUCACUCAAUUCAAAAGAAAACUCCAUUAAAAGUACUAAUGAAAAAACAUGACAUACUGUCAAAGUCCUCAUAUCUAGGAAAGACACAGAAACUCUCUUUGUCACAGAAACUCUCUGUGUCUUUCCUAGACAUAAUAGAGUUGUUUUUCAACUCUAUGUUUGAAUGUGGAUACCCUGAAUUUUGUAUAAUUAGUGUAAAUACAGUGUUCAGUCCUUCAAGUGAUAUUUUUAUUUUUUUAUUCAUACCACUAGCUACUUGUUUUCUAAUCUGCUUCAUUCUAAUGCUUAUAUUCAUCUUUUCCCUAAAUUUGUGAUGCUGCAGAUCCUACAUCAUUCAGAUAGAAACCUUUUUUUUUUUCAGAAUUAUAGAAUUCCACAGCUCCUACCAAGACCAUGAGGAUAAAUAUCUAACACUUUUCAGUUGCUGAAGGAGAAAGGAGCUUUAGUUAUGAUGGAUAAAAAUAUCUGCCACCCUAGGCUUCCAAAUUAUACUUAAAUUGUUUACAUAGCUUACCACAAUAGGAGUAUCAGGGCCAAAUACCUAUGUAAUAAUUUGAGGUCAUUUCUGCUUUAGGAAAAGUACUUUCGGUAAAUUCUUUGGCCCUGACCAGUAUUCAUUAUUUCAGAUAAUUCCCUGUGAUAGGACAACUAGUACAUUUAAUAUUCUCAGAACUUAUGGCAUUUUACUAUGUGAAAACUUUAAAUUUAUUUAUAUUAAGGGUAAUCAAAUUCUUAAAGAUGAAAGAUUUUCUGUAUUUUAAAGGAAGCUAUGCUUUAACUUGUUAUGUAAUUAACAAAAAAAUCAUAUAUAAUAGAGCUCUUUGUUCCAGUGUUAUCUCUUUCAUUGUUACUUUGUAUUUGCAAUUUUUUUUACCAAAGACAAAUUAAAAAAAUGAAUACCAUAUUUAAAUGGAAUAAUAAAGGUUUUUUAAAAACUUUAAA